AACGAACGCUGGCGGCAUGCCUAACACAUGCAAGUCGAACGAGAACAUCGGGUCUAUUGGCGCUUGGCUGCGGAACGCCGGGGGAGUUGCCCUUGGGUUCGGAACAACUCGCUGAAAGGGGUGCUCAUACCGGAUAAGGUACUAGGACCAAAGAUUUAUCGCCUUUGGAUGGGGCCGUGUUGGCUUAGCUAGUUGGUAGGGUAUAAGCCGACCAAGGCGACGAUCAAUCGCUGGUCAGAGAGGAUGAUCAGCCACACUGGAACUGAGGCACGGCCGAGAAUGCUACGGGACGGAGCGGAAGGGUGUAGUAGACAAUGGGCGUGAAUGAAGUCCAGCAAUGCCGCGUAAGUGAUGAUGGGCGUAGGGUUGUGAAGCUAUUUUAACCGGGAUGAUAAUGACCGUAACGGGAAAAUAAGCUCCGGCUAACUCCGUG
rnacentral:rRNA from 1 species